rnacentral:rRNA from 1 species
AUUGAACGCUGGCGGCAUGCUUUACACAUGCAAGUCGAACGGCAGCGCGGGCUUCGGCCUGGCGGCGAGUGGCGAACGGGUGAGUAAUACACCGGAACGUGCCCAGUCGUGGGGGAUAGCUUGGCGAAAGCCGGCUUAAUACCGCAUACGACCUGAGGGUGAAAGCGGGGGAUCUUCGGACAACGCGCUAUUUGAGCGGCCGAUGGCAGAUUAGCUAGUUGGUGGGGUAAAGGCCUACCAAGGCGACGAUCUGUAGCUGGUCUGAGAGGACGACCAGCCACACUGGAACUGAGACACGGCCCAGACUCCUACGGGAGGCAGCAGUGGGGAAUUUUGGACAAUGGGCGAAAGCCUGAUCCAGCAAUGCCGCGUGUGUGAUGAAGGCCUUCGGGUUGUAAAGCACUUUUGGCGGGAACGAAAAGGACUGUGCCAAUACCACGGUUCGAUGACGGUACCCGCAGAAUAAGCACCGGCUAACUACGUG